GACGCAGCGACGCGCGUGCGGGAUGAAGGCCUUCGGGUCGUAAACCGCUGUCGGGAGGGACGAAAUCAAUGACGGUACCUCCAAAGGAAGCACCGGCUAACUCUGUGCCAGCAGCCGCGGUAAUACAGAGGGUGCGAGCGUUGUCCGGAAUCACUGGGCGUAAAGGGCGCGUAGGCGGCCUGAUAAGUAGGGGGUGAAAUCCUGCGGCUCAACCGCAGGGCUGCCUUCUAGACUGUCAGGCUUGAGCACAGUAGAGGCAGGUGGAAUUCCCGGUGUAGCGGUGGAAUGCGUAGAGAUCGGGAAGAACAUCGGUGGCGAAGGCGGCCUGCUGGGCUGUUGCUGACGCUGAGGCGCGACAGCGUGGGGAGCAAACAGGAUUAGAUACCCUGGUAGUCCACGCCGUAAACGAUGGGUACUAGGCGUCGGGGGGAGCGACCCCCUCGGUGCCGUCGUUAACACAGUAAGUACCCCGCCUGGGGAGUACGGCCGCAAGGCUG
rnacentral:rRNA from 1 species